GACGAAGGGGGCUAGCGUUGUUCGGAAUUACUGGGAGUAAAGCGCGUGUAGGCGGUUGCCCAAGUCGGGUGGGAAAGCCUUGAGCUCAACUCAAGAAAUGCACUCGGUACUGGGUGACUAGAGGACCGGAGAGGAUAGUGGAAUUCCCAGUGUAGUGGUGAAAUACGUAGAGAUUGGGAAGAACACCAGUGGCGAAGGCGGCUAUCUGGACGGUUUCUGACGCUAAGACGCGAAAGCGUGGGGAGCAAACAGG
rnacentral:rRNA from 1 species